rnacentral:lncRNA from 1 species
AGACCGCCCCCUCCCGCGGGUCCCCGGAGUGUGGAGGGGAAGACGCCGGAGGAUCAGAAGAGGGACGGACGUCCAUCCCAGAGCCCACUGCCGGGCCCCGACACCCAACAGGAGGGACCUUUUCUCAGGAACAGCAGAAAUCUCCACCCUGGCAGGGUGGGCACCGUUGUCUACAAGAAACUCCCAGAGACCCAAGACCUCUUCAGCCACAGCACCGGAUCUACACGGAUCUCUUUCCCAGCCGGCUCUGAAAACAACCAGACGGAACACAACUGGGCCUUUCAGGCAAACCUCUGCCAGUUCAAAAGCGUCCCUGCGCGGAUCAGAAAGGCAGGACAGCGCCCCCGGGGGCUGGGCUCCUGCACCAACCGGCACCCUGCUCAGCGCGAAACCCUCACAAGGGUGCCGUCCCCCAAACAACAAGCCCCUCAUUGUUACCUGAUGCAGAAGACCAGCGCAGGGGUUUGUAAAACCUCAUCCUUGACUCAAUGUUGGAAGCCGUAUUUGUUUGGGGGGAUAAACUGUCCUGCGAGUGUUUUGUUAUUUCGGUGCACAAAUGACAAACACCGGGGACGCGGGUCUGGAAACCUGGGGCUUUGCACAUACAAACCAGGGUGGGUGGCAACAGAUCCUCACUUCGUGGGCGGCAGGCCCGCUGUCUUUUAUCAGUUGUGUCCAAACGGCCGCCAUCUUCAUUUUCUGAACCAGGAAGAUGAGCGUGUGCAAAGUUAAGGGACUUGGCAAUGUCCACCCUGCGGGCCCGGCUGGUCUCGGACCCCUCCUGGGUCAGACCUAGGAGCCCCUGCCCGUCCCCAGCAGGUGGGGGUCAUGCACGCCAGCUGGGUCUGGCCCCUCCCUCCCAGGUUCUGCCUCUGAUACCCUUGUUCCACCGCAAGGUUUAGGGUCCUGCUUUGGUGGUGCCUGUGGGGUUCAGUCUGUUCGUUCAAGUUCGGCCCAGGUCAUGAUCUCACGGUUCGUGGGUUCGAGCCCCGCGUCGGGCUCUGGGCUGACGGCUCGGAGCCCGGAGCCUGCUUCGGAUUCUGUGUCUCCUUCUCUCUGUGCCCCCAACCCACUCACGCUCUGUCUCUCUCUCAAAAAUAAGUUAACAGCAAAAAAACAAAAAUUUUUUUUUUUUUUUUAAAUAAAACACUGCUUUGGAAGUUACA